GCCUCCUGUAUCCCCAGCCUCCUCAGCACCUAGAAACAGCUUACGCUGCCUUAUAAGGCUCAAAUGCUGCUGCCAGGGAGCUGUGGGGCCCAGGCCUUGAAUUUUUGGUGCACCAGUGCUUGACAGGCUCCCCUUAUCUCUGCUUGCACCGCUGGGCCUAGGGGUUUUUCUAUUGUUUUUCUAAAGGCAUGCCAAGGCCAGGACAAUGCUAAUUUAAGUUCCUCCUGGCUCCAUUUGUUUUUGUGUUUUUUAAUUACAGCGGGGUCUCACUAUGUUGACCAGGCUGGAAUGCAGUGCCUGGAAUGCUGUGCCCUACAACAGGCUCAAUUCUCUCUCUCUUUUUUUUUUUUUUUGUCAGAGAUGGGAUCAGCCAAGAACAGACUCAAUUCUUGACCCUCUUAGUUUUCUGAGACUGCAUCCACUUUGGUAGUUUCUACUGAGUCCAAAUUAGAACAUCCCAGCUGGUGGACUGUCUCCCAGGAAGCCCUCGGAGAGGAGCGGUGCAUAGGGGGGCACCUGGACACCCCGCCCCCCGCCCCGAGUCGUGUCAGGCAGCCUUGUCUAUUUACAUCCUUUCACCCUUUCUCGGGAAGCUAUCAGACGAUGUGCUCCCCCAGAUGAAGAAGUAGUCCCAGGAAAAAGGAGACAUGGGAUACUGGGAUCCUGAACCCGGGGGAGGACAAGGGAGUUCCUGGGAGGACAGCUGUGCUACCGCCUAGCAAUAGCGAGCAGCCAGUCCAAACUGCAGCUGUGACUCAGAAGACAGACAUGUGGAGGGUUGUGAUCACAGAGUAACGAUGGUCCUUGUACAUGGAGAUAAAAAUGCUCAGGUGUGCCCAGGUUAAAGAAGAUGAAAGGCCCUGCUUCCCAGAGCGCCCGGGGGCACUGAUGAUCUCUUCCAGGUCUGUUUCCACCCACUGCAGCCGUGACAGAGUCUUGCUCUGUUGCCCAGGCUAGAAUGCAAUGGCGUGAUCUUGGCUCACCACAACUUCCACCUCCCAGGUUCAAGUGAUUAUCCUGCCACACCCAGCUAAUUUUGUAUUUUUAGUAGAGACGAGAGUUCACCAUGUUGGCCAGGCUGGUCUCAAACUCCUGACAUUGUGAUCAGCCCACCUCAGCCUCCCAAAGUUCUAGGAUUACAGGCGUGAGCCACUGUGUCCGGCCUACCUAGAGCAUUAUUUAAACCUUAAACCU